CUCUCUGUUCAAGUGUGUGUAAGGGAGGUUUUGUGCCUUCCUAUCUUUCGGUUCCAAACCUAUGUAGCUAUUAAUUGUGGCCCACAUAGAGUGUGGGAAUUCAUCCGGUAUGAUGACCUUUUUCUCAAUAUCUGCAUAGGGCAUGGGUCAACUACUAUAGUAUGAAAAUACUCAUCAAGGUCUGUGAAAGUGAAGACCACUCAGUGACCUCGUACAUUCACCAUAUGGCUAUAGUUGGUGGGGGUUAUAUUUUGCAUAGAACUCCCUCACCAGACUGAGUUGCACUCCUCCUGGUCUUCGAAGAUGAAAUCAAGACCAAAGGUAUGC
rnacentral:lncRNA from 1 species